UACGUGGGGUGCGAGCGUUGUUCGGAAUUACUGGGCGCAAAGCGCGUGUAGGCGGCCUAUUAUGUCAGGUGUGAAAGCCCUCGGCCUAACCGAGGAAGUGCGCCUGAAACUGCUAGGCUUGAGUACGAGAGAGGAGGACGUAAUUACCAGUGUAGAGGUGAAAUUCGUAGAUAUUGGGAGGAACACCGGCGGCGAAAGCGGUUGUCUGGAUCUAUACCGACGCUAAGACGCGAAAGCGUGGGGAGUAGACAGG
rnacentral:rRNA from 1 species